rnacentral:tRNA from 1 species
GCCGGUUUAGCUCAAUGGUAGAGCGGCUGAUUUGUAAUCAGCAGGUUGUCCGUUCAAAUCGGGUAAUCGGCU